rnacentral:misc_RNA from 1 species
GAAACAACAGCAAACUGGACAGAGUUCGGAUGGGUCAUAUAUGUCACCAGCCUAAACUGGACAGAGCUCGGAUGGGUCAUAUUGUCAUCGGACUAUUAAGGAAACGAAUAUGUUGUUGUGUCAGAAAAUGCUCGGAUGGGUCAUAUUGCCAUCGGCCUACUAAGGAAACAAAUAUGUUGUCGGAAAAUGCUCGGAUGGGUCAUAUUGCCAUCGGCCUACUAAGGAAACAAAUAUGUUGUCG